GUCGUGUAAAAAUUGUAAGAUCGUUGUAAUUAUAGUGACAAGGAACACGCAACAUGCAUCGAAAUACGAAAGCCAUGAUCAGCCUGUACAUCUGCGUCCGUCGUCAUCCUCGUCGAAGUUGCAGCAGCGUUAUCGAGGGCCCGGCGGCGUAAAAUUAGCUAGACCAGCCAGAAAAAUAUUCCAGUGUCUGGAUUUUGGGAGCGUAUCUGGACGGGUAUUGCAGAACGUGACUUUCAAGAAUUCGAUUGAGACAAUGUGAGAAAUAAUGAGCAGAAAAACAGAUAUAAAUUUAACGACGAGCGAGCGGAAUUCCGGGCAGGAUUGAAAUAUUGGCAAAACUUCGUUCAACCCUGAUUAAACAUUGCUGGAUAAAAAGGAUUCGAGAUGAAAAUGAAGGUGGAGAGGAAAUAGAUUCUGAGGUCGACCAACCAUCGUUACAAUUCAUACACUCACGAGUGGAAUUUUUAUGAUCUUCGAUCCAUUAGCUAUAUUAAAUUAAAUCGCAAUAAUCGAUUUUAUUCCAACCCAAUCACCAGAAUUUAAAAAUGCGUCUGUGAAAACGCGGGAAUUCCGAAAUAAAUGAAUUAUCGGGUUCGAAAUUAUGACAUGGAUAAAUUACUUCAGCUCUGAUCAGAUAUAUCAAGAUCAUGAUUGGAAAUCACAGAGUGAGGAUUAGGGAGUUAUGACAAUUUUUUCGGCCUUCGAUUUUACACUU